rnacentral:siRNA from 1 species
CGUGUUUCUCUGCACAUGGUUAAC